UACGAAGGGGGCUAGCGUUGCUCGGAAUCACUGGGCGUAAAGGGCGCGUAGGCGGCCUGAUCAGUCGGGGGGUGAAAGCCUGUGGCUCAACCACAGAAUGGCCUCGAUACUGUCGGGCUUGAGACCGGAAGAGGUAAGUGGAACUGGCGAGUGUAGAGGUGAAAUUCGAUAGAUAUUCGCAAGAACACCAGUGGCGAAGGCGGCUUACUGGUCCGGAUCUGACGCUGAGGCGGCGAAAAGCGUGGGGAGCAAACAGG
rnacentral:rRNA from 1 species